UACGGGGGGGGCAAGCGUUGUUCGGAAUUACUGGGCGUAAAGGGUUCGUAGGUGGCCAACUAAGUCAUGCGUGAAAUCCCUCAGCUUAACUGGGGAACUGCGUUUGAUACUGGUUGGCUUGAGUGCAGGAGAGGAACGCGGAAUUCCAGGUGUAGCGGUGAAAUGCGUAGAUAUCUGGAGGAACACCGGUGGCGAAGGCGGCGUUCUGGACUGCAACUGACACUGAGGAACGAAAGCCAGGGGAGCAAACGGGAUUAGAAACCCCGGUAGUCC
rnacentral:rRNA from 1 species